AAAGUCUGUCAUAUCAUCCUGGGCAGGACCUAGGCCCUCACCCACAUGUCCAGGCUGAGAGACCACCCCUCCACAUGGAAGGGCUCCCAAAGUCCUUUCUUUCUUAUUUAUUUAUUUAUUUAUUUAUUUAUUUAUUUAUUUAUUUAUUUUUGGUUUUUCAAGACAGGGUUUCUCUGUGUAGCUUUGGAGCCUAUCCUGGCACUCUCUCUGGAGAACAGGCUGGCCUCGAACUUACAGAGACCCUCCUGCCUCUGCCUCCCGAGUGCUGGGAUUAAAGGCAUGUACCACCAACACCUGGCCCCAAAGUCCUAUCUUAAGCCAGGGAUAAACACUGACCUUCUGCCAGAGGUCCCAUAGAAUGCCGAGGCCUCCUCAUUUACAUCCACAAUUCAGGGGUCUGUAUAAGUUCUGUGCUGGCCUCCCUGACAUCAGUCUGGGGUCCACGCACUCCUCCUUGUUCAGGUUAGCUGUUUCUGUGGGUUUCACCAGCCUGGUCUUGACCUUGUUGCUCUUCACUCCUUCCUCUGUGCCUUUGGGUUCCAGAGUUAAGCAUGGUGUUUAGCUGUGGGUGUCUGCCUCUGCUUCCAUCAGCCACUGGAUGAGGGCUCUAGGAUGGCAUAAAAAGUAGUCAUCAGUCUCAUUAUAGGUGAAGGGCAUUUAGAGUAGCCUCUCCACUAUAGAUUAGAUUGUCAGUUGGUGUCAUCCUUGUAGAUCUCUGAAAAUCACCCUAGUGCCAGAUCUCUCCUCAAACAUAUAAAUGGCUCCCUCUGUUAUGGUAUCUUUCAUCCUGCUCUCCUCUAUUUUCCCCCGACUCAAUCUUUCUGCUCCUCCAUUUACUCCUCUCCCCUCUUCUUCUCCUCCUCUCAUUCUGCCAUCUCCCUUUCCCCUACCCUCUUGGUCCCAAUAAGUUCAGAAGAUCCAGCCCCUUCCCAUUCUGCGGGGUCCAUGCAUUCUUCUCUUAGAGUUCUCCUUGCUUCCAAGUUCCUUUGGUGAUGUGCAUUGUAGGUGCAUAAUCCUUACCUCUAUGUCUAAAAUUCAUAUAUGAACGAGUACAUACCAUGUUUGUCUGUUUUUGACUGGGUCACCUCACUCAGGAUGGUUUCUUCUAGUUCCAUCCACUUAUCUUAUCAGACACUUUAUUGGCGUCCCUCCUUGUCAGUGGAUCACAUCGUGGUGCUGGAGCAGGAGCCGAGGGGAAAAAGAGAAAACUUCCCAUUCUCCUCGCUCAAAUAUGAGUCUCCUUGCUAUGUCACUUCCUGCCUAGACCACCACUUCUCUACUACAUCUCCCAG
rnacentral:lncRNA from 1 species